rnacentral:rRNA from 1 species
GUGGGGAAUAUUGCACAAUGGGCGAAAGCCUGAUGCAGCAACGCCGCGUGAGCGAUGAAGGCCUUCGGGUCGUAAAGCUCUGUCCUAUGGGAAGAUAAUGACGGUACCAUAGGAGGAAGCCCCGGCUAACUACGUGCCAGCAGCCGCGGUAAUACGUAGGGGGCAAGCGUUAUCCGGAAUUACUGGGCGUAAAGGGUGCGUAGGCGGUUUAUCAAGUCAGGGGUGAAAGGCUACGGCUCAACCGUAGUAAGCCUCUGAAACUGGUGAACUUGAGUGUAGGAGAGGAAAGUGGAAUUCCCAGUGUAGCGGUGAAAUGCGUAGAUAUUGGGAGGAACACCAGUGGCGAAGGCGACUUUCUGGACUAUAACUGACGCUGAGGCACGAAAGCGUGGGGAGCAAACAGGAUUAGAAACCCUAGUAGUCC